GUUGUUGCGCCGUUGCCGGAAAUCGGUCGCCGGAAUUUGAUUUUCGGCGAGCUUAACGGUCCCAAUUUCAUAAGCGGAACGUUCGAUUAAGACAGCGAAAAUUCUUCGUUACAAGACUAGGUGUGCUGGUGCUGCUGCAUAAUCUCGAGCAUACGGGGACUAGGCUUGGGUAUUUACAUUUAAAGCAUUUUGAAAUAAGUAUUAUUGGUUUUUCUAAGACUUAUAUAUGGUUUGUGGUUUGAAUGAAAGGGGUCAUUGAUGAUUCCCGAGUUGUAUUUAUAUUUUAA